GAGUGACUCAUUCCAGUGUCUGGAGGGACAAGUUGGCAGGCCUGAGAACAAGAAGCAGAGCUAACACAGGAAGUGACACAUCCAGCAGUACCAAGAGCUCGCCAUGCUAUGGGUCGGUUUUCUAAAGUUUGUGUCAGUGGAUUCAGGGCGGAAGAAGAGUGUCAGAAGUACAGCAGAGUGAAAUGAGCAAUCUGAAAUGAUUUCCUGGUUGGGAGGAACUAAUGAAUAGGGCCGAGGACAGGGUUGAAGGAGUGAUGAGCGUGGGAGCUCCCCGUGGUAUUCCCCGCCUG